UGCUGUGUAUAUAUAUAUAUAUAUAUAUAUAUAUAUAUAUAUAUAUAUAUAUAUUAAUCAUCAUCUCUGGACAGACGCUAAACCCGGGAAUUUGUUUGUUUUAAGAUGUCUAAACAGGCUUAAAAUUAAGAGACCUCUUUGUAAAGCUGCUUUGGAGUAAUAUGCAUUUAUGUAAGAACAAAAAAACGUUCAUCGUUUUUUAAUUUCACAUAUUCUAGAUCUUUGUUCCUCAGCUCUAAGUGUUCUUUCAUGAUUCAAAUCCCCUCAGUUCACUAAUGCAUUACGUUUUACAUCCCUCCAGCUUGACAUGGAGCAGAGCGGAACCACGGUGGUCUUAGAAACACAAGCUAACAGUGAACUGGGUUUCCUCCACAUGUAUUGACUUAAGCUUAUGAGACAUUACUGGACUUCAAUCCAUCCACUGACAUAAAAACCCACCGCAGGAUCCUGAGAGAAAUGGGAUACUCUAAACAGACAUUCAUCUAACACACUGCGCUAACACAAAUCUCUCUCCCUCCUCAUUCAAGCUUACAGACACAUACACACAGAGGUACAAAGGUCUCUUUCUGUAACGGGCCGAGAGCUGAAAUUUGAUGUUUAAUAACUGGGAUAUUUUUUAAUGCUUUCUGUGCUGACGGUGCAGUGGAUUUUUGAGGCAGGAUAAUGACGGGACUAAAACACUACCUGUGGAUUCCUGAGGUAUUGAGUUCUAAAGCGCCGCUACAAGAGAAUAAAGAAGGUCACCCACAUUUGGAUCAACAUGAAGGUGUGCAGGGGAGUCAAAAGUUUUGGUGUGGAGUACAGAACAUCACUGCAGCGUCAUCAGAGCUCCAAACUUUCAAGAGUAGCUUAAAAUGCAUAACACGCUGGAAUUCUGUCAAGAAGAAGAGAGACUGUUCUCUCUAAAUGUAAGUCAAUAGAGGAGAUGCAAUGGAACACUGAAUAAACUACUUUUAUGUGGAAAAAGAUAAAAUGGACUGCCUCUCUGGUAAUCUUCAACAUGUUUGCCAUGACAUAUUCAUUGAAGAGUGAGCUAUAUUUGAAGUGUACUAUCAGAGAUAUUACUGUUUUAUAGGAGAAGUCACAGACAAUUUUGCAACAUGGGAUCCGUAAAUGUGACUGACCAUCAUAAAAUAUUUAUAAGCCAACAUUUCCUCCACAGAAACAUUACAUCUUUGGUUUAUCCAAUAUAUGCCCUGUGUCUUGCUCUCUAAGCCAUCAACAUGAGUAUAUUUGAAAAGGGUGUGCAUACAAUUAUAUCUAUAAACAUCUAAAGCAUAGAAAGAGCCAUUCCAGCCUGACAAUUCCAGCCCAACCCAAAGUUAUGAAGAGCAACAUGGGAUCUGCCAACACCUGCCAUUUUGUUCUGCUGAUAACCAUGGUAACAGGAAGGGCAGAUGGGGCACAGAGGAUAAUAGAGUGGAAGAGUGAGUGGGAAGAGAAAGGGAAGAGGGGAAUAAAGAAAGAGGAAUGGGGGGACGGUAAUGAGUUUUAGGAGCGGCAGGAUGGAAACAGGAUAAGAGUCUCUAAGAGACUUGUUUAAUGCAGAACAGAGGGAGUUUUAUACCCACUUCUCAGGACGAUCGUUUUUUUUUUUUUUUUUUUUUACUUCCUCUCGCUUAUUCGGGUUUGAGAAGAAAUGAGAAGUUGAGCAGAGAUGAUUUGCCUUCACUGUUCUGUUCACAGAGUGGUUACAGCAUGAGCAACACAUAAUGAGUGUCACAUGUUAUUAUUAUUAUUACUAAUGUACUAAAAGAUCAGUUUUGUCUUCCCGAUAUAUAUUAGCUGGAGUAGGUUAUCCUCUUUAAAGGGAUAGUCACCGAAAAACGAAAAUUUUCAACUCAACCUCGCGUGUCGUUCCAAACCUGUAAGACUUUCUAUCUUUCUACUGUGGAACAUAAAAGAACAUCAUUUGAGAAUGUGUGUAGUGUUUUAUUUUUGUUGUUGUUUUUUUUUUUUUAAGUACACAGUCAGGGGUCACCGAAACUGUUUGGUUUAUCGACAUUCUUAAACAUAUUUUCAUUUGUGCUCUGCAGAAGAAAUUCAGUCAUACAGGUUUUAAAUCAAACUUAAAUGAGAGAUGGGAAAGUUUUAAGAAACUAACUAUUCCUGUAUGGGACACAUUCACACACACAAAGUUUAGUCAGGAGUGACUCUCGCAGCAGGAAGUUGACUUAUUAGAUCUACUUUCUUAAGAAACCAUGGGUGAAAAUAGAUUAAAGCCCACCCUGCCGAGUGAGACAACGACAGAGUGUGUGAGUGUGCGAAAGAGAUGAAAAGUCUUCAAAGUUGUAUCAUAAAGUAUCUGGUUCCAGUGCUGCAGAUAACAAAAUACACACACACAUGCUUGUGUUUGAAGACACGAGUGUGUGGAGAGGAAAUGACUAUAAACACACAGGAGGAAAAACACACAGUUUGAUGUGAUGGCAGGUGACAUGUUCAUAUACCUAAAGCAGUUUAAAGUCACCUGAAAAUAAAUGUGACAACAAACUGAAACAGUCUUACAAUGCCUGCGCUUUCCAGCAGGACCAGCAGCAUGUCUUCAAUUAAGCUUGUUUUGCCACUGGUAAGAAGUUUUUUCUUGUUUUAAGAAUAAAUUCCAUUCAAGAUACACUACCAUUUAAAAGUUUGGGGUCAGAAACAUUAAAAACUAAAAUUCAAAAAGAAAUAAAGAUUGCAUCCAUAUUGCAUUAAAUUGAUCAAAAGCAACAAUUUAUAUUUCAAAUCAAUACAGUUCUUUUAAACUUUAUAUUUACCACAGAAUUCUGACAAAAAAAAAAAAAAUGCUUUACCACCACAGGAAUAAAAGACAUUUUGAAUAGAAGAGUUAUUUUAAAAUGUACUGACAUUUUACAGUAUUACCGUUUUGCUGUAUUUUUGAUUAAAUAACUGCAGCCUUGGUAACCAUAAGAUGCUUCUUUCAGAAACAUUAAACAAUCUUACCGACCCCAGACUUUUGAAUUUAAAUGUAUUCUCUAAAAAUGUAAUUAUAUUGAAAUCUUAUAUAUUUAAAAUAUAUAAAAAUGUUACUGUAAUUACUGAGCCAGUAAAAAUGGCUCUAAAAUGUCCAUAAAAAUUAUCUCCUGGGACCCAUAAGUCUGACAAUUCCAUACACAUUAUCAUAUAUUUUAAUUUAAUUUGAAAACUAAAUUAACCCACAUACUUUGAUGAAAAAAUCCUUGACCAGAAUACUUAAAUCAACAGGAUACAAUAUAUUCUUAUAUAAGAACAGUAUCAUGGAUGACUUCAGUACAGGUCAAGGAGGAAAUGUACCGUGUAAAAGAAAUGAAGAAGUGUAAAAUGAAAUGAAUGACAGGCCGGAUACGGGAUAUUCUUACUGAUGCUGAAACGCUAAUGCGGUUUUUGCUUCCUUUCAUUUUCUGUCCCUCUAUCAAAGCAAAAGGAGUCAGUCUGGAGUGUUUAUGCAUCAGAGGCUGGCACCAGCAGAGAUAAAAGAGAUUUUAACCAAAUAGCACAGAAAGGACAAAAGGGGCACAGGGACAGUGAAUAGCUGUAUACUGACUCACUUCACCCAUUCAUUCAUCCAUCUAUUGAUCUUUUCCUCCGAUGCUCUCUCAUUUCUGUUUUGAACUCAAUAUGCUCACCUCACUGGUGCACAUGCCACCAAAAUAUUGUCAAAACACCCUUUAUUUGACCUUUUUCAUACAAAGAACCUCCAUGAAUGGCCUGAAAAAGCCUCCGAUUUUUAACUAUUGUAUUCAGUCAACAGAAGUUUGCCGACCGUAAAACAGGAUGCAUAUUUCCCAACACUCUCAACCAUGUAGUUCAUGAGUCUUGGCUCCAGGUGAAAGGACAACAGUCCACACUGUCCACAUGUUCUGCAAACAGAUAAAACUGUCCUGCCAGUGUAAACAGAAAGUAAUAGCAUUUAUUAAGCAGUUUAAACGGGUGUUCACCAAAAUGUAAGUUCAAAAGCUUUCUAUCACUUUCAAAUCUCUCACAUCUUCUUUCAUAUUUCAUAUAUACUUCUCUGUCCCAUCCCCCAGUGGGACCCCACGUCCGUUAUCGCUGUUCUUGAGGACAGAAUUUGGUCUGUCUUCUCUUCAAAAGCUCCCGACUGUCCAAUCUCCUCAGUUAUCUUUCUCUUGCUUUCUUUUUCGCUCCCUCACUUCCCCUGGUGGUCUGUGCGUUGGAAGACCACGGGAGGCAGAUGACUCUUCCCUCUCUUUGAAAUGAGAGAGAGAGAGAGAAAGCGAGGCAGAGAAAGUGAGAGAGUCAACAGCGUAGACAUCAAACACAGCAAAGUCACGACAAAGGACAUUUAGGAAAGAACUUUUGAUCUGUUCCACACUCCACCUCCCUCUGCCCUCUUUAAACCUGCCUAUUAAAAGUGUAACUCAAACCAGGCUUGUUGGCACAGGAGGAGACAUGUUUGGGCUUCGAUUACUCAGCUCAGGUCAAAGGUCAUUGAAUGGGUCUUGUUAGGUACACAUGGAACUGUAACAGAGUUUAACUUGUGAAUUUAUAAAACAUUUCGAAAAAGACUUAUUGAUCUGUUUUUAGAGCAGUAGUUCACCCCAAAAUAAGAAUUUUGACAUCAUGUACUCAACCUAUGUUGGUCUAAACCUGAAACCUAAAAAAAGCCCAGUGUUAAAACUGAAAUUAAAAUAUAUUAAUGCUAACUAGAAAUACUACAAUGAAAAACUAAUACAAUGACAAGCAAAUUAUGAAAAUAACUAAAACACAAAUUUAAAUGUAAACUGAAAAUAUUAAAAUGUUUAAUAAAUACUAUAUUAGUAUAUAAAUAAUACUAAAUGACACUGACCCACACAAUAGAUUUACACAAGGAAAGGGCCUAAAUUUCAUUGUUAGUUGCUAUUCAGUUGUAUUUACUCCAGUUAAAACUAUUAUAUGACUUCAGAAGACUUCAAAUGUAGCACAAGAGUCACUUUUAUGAUGAUUUUUGGUCAUUUUAGAGCUUACUGUUCACUUUCAUAGUAUAAAGACAGCUUGAAAGUCUUGCUACACAUCUCAUUUUAUGGUCUGUGGAAGAAAGGAAAUCAUACAGAUAUCAUACAGCUUUAAUUUAAAUACAUUUCAGAAAUUAAAUACAAAAAUAUAAAUAUUU
ensembl:lncRNA